rnacentral:rRNA from 1 species
UACGUAGGUGGCAAGCGUUGUCCGGAAUUAUUGGGCGUAAAGCGCGCGCAGGCGGUCCUUUAAGUCUGAUGUGAAAGCCCACGGCUCAACCGUGGAGGGUCAUUGGAAACUGGGGGACUUGAGUACAGAAGAGAAGAGUGGAAUUCCACGUGUAGCGGUGAAAUGCGUAGAUAUCUGGAGGAACACCGGUGGCGAAGGCGGCGUUCUGGACUGUUUCUGACACUGAAAAACGAAAGCCAGGGGAGCAAACGGG